rnacentral:rRNA from 1 species
UAUUGGACAAUGGGCGCAAACCUGAUCCAGCAAUACCGCGUGUGUGAAGAAGGCCUUAGGGUUGUAAAGCACUUUCAAUUGGGAGGAAAACCUGCCGGUCAAUACCCGGUAGCUUGACAUUACCUUUAGAAGAAGCACCGGCUAACUCCGUGCCAGCAGCCGCGGUAAUACGGAGGGUGCGAGCGUUAAUCGGAAUUACUGGGCGUAAAGCGUGCGUAGGCGGUUCGUUAAGUCAGAUGUGUAAGCCCUGGGCUCAACCUGGGAACUGCAUUUGAAACUGGCGGACUAGAGUUUAGUAGAGGGGAGUGGAAUUUCAGGUGUAGCGGUGAAAUGCGUAGAUAUUUGAAGGAACACCAGUGGCGAAGGCGACUCCCUGGACUAGAACUGACGCUGAGUACGAAA